rnacentral:rRNA from 1 species
UACGUAGGGGGCGAGCGUUGUCCGGAGUUACUGGGCGUAAAGCGCGUGUAGGCGGCUCGAUAAGUCUGCUGUGAAAGUUCAGGGCUCAACCCUGAAAUGCCGGUGGAAACUGUCGAGCUAGAGUACGGAAGAGGUGAGUGGAAUUCCCGGUGUAGCGGUGAAAUGCGCAGAUAUCAGGAGGAACACCAAUGGCGAAGGCAGCUCACUGGGACGUUACUGACGCUGAGACGCGAAAGCGUGGGGAGCAAACAGG